AGCUCCAAUAAAGUAUAUUAAACCUGUUGCGGUUAAAAAGUUCGUAGUUGGAUUUCUGCCGAGGACGACCGGUCCGCCCUCUGGGUGAGUAUCUGGCUUGGCCUGGGCAUCUUCUUGGAGAACGUAGCUGCACUUGAUUGUGUGGUGCGGUAUCCGGGACUGCUACUUUGAGGAAAUUAGACUGUUUCAAGCAGGCAUGCGCCUUGAAUACAUUAGCAUGGAAUAAUGAGAUAGGACCUCGGUUCUAUGUUGUUGGUUUCUAGAGCUGAGGUAAUGAUUAAUAGGGAUAGUUGGGGGCAUUCGUAUUUAACUGUCAGAACUGAAGUUCUUGGAUUUGUGAAAGACGGAUUACUGCGAAAGCAUUUGCCAAGGAUGUUUUCA
rnacentral:rRNA from 1 species